rnacentral:rRNA from 1 species
UGACAGCCUAACACAUGCAAGUCGAACGGUAACAGGAAGCAGACUUGCUGCUUCGCUGAACGAGAUGGCGGACGGGUAGAGUAAUGUCUGGGAAACUGCCUGAUGGAGGGGGAUAACUACUGGAAACGGUAGCUAAUACCGCUAUAACGUCGCAAGACCAAAGAGGGGGACCUUCGUGGCCUCUUGCCAUCGGAUGUGCCCAGAUGGGAUUAGCUAGUAGNGUGGGGUAACAGGCUCACCUAGGCGACGAUCCCUAGCUGGUCUGAGAGGAUGACCAGACCACACUGGAACUGAGACACGGUCCAGACUCCUACGGGAGGCAANCAGUAGGUGGAAUAUUUNCACAAUGGGCGCAAGCCUGAUGCAGACCAUGGCCGGUGUAUGAAGACAGGCCUUCGG